CAACUGAAGAGUUUGAUUCUGGCUCAGAUUGAACGCUGGCGGCACGCUUAACACAUGCAAGUCGAACGGCAGC
rnacentral:rRNA from 1 species